rnacentral:lncRNA from 1 species
ACAAAUGAUUGUUUCUGUAAUUCAAUUACAAUUAAAAAAAAUUGCACAGCCAUACGUUCAAAUCCAAGGAUUGCUUUCCAAAAAUUAAGUUCACAAAAGUACAAUAGGACAAAAGAUUUAGCUCUGACUUGCAAAAACAAUUCAAGCAGACAAACAUGUUUAAUAAACUUUGGCAGUAGUUUGAUAAGCUGGACAGCACAUCAAAUAGGUCUUCAUAAAUCAAUAUGUUCACCGAUUUUACAUAUUUUCUGCAGACCAUAUUAAUUGAUGUGGUAUCAUAAUUCCCCAACCUCCAAGAACAAAUUAAAAACUACUCGUAGAACCAGUAAAGGAUUGUAAGGUCAAAACAACACAGAUGGGCCUAAUUGUUUGAUCAAAUUUCAUGAUGAAGAGAGACAAGAAAGAUCGAUGAGAACAAAACACCAUACAUCAAUGAAGAUACUCAGCGAACCAAUUCGGGAAUCGAAGAAAACAGAUCCAAAUCACUACUUCCACAUAAACACAUGAAAUCAAAAAUAGUUAUGGCCAAUUAAAUAUAUAAAAGUUAAGAAUUAACCUGAAAUUCCUUUCAAUUAAUAAAAUUUCAGCGGUUAUACAGACUGAAUCGAAGAUACCGUUGCGACUGGAACUCGACACGAUGAUCCUCAAACCGGCAGCCUCGAACACUGGACUGUUUCCUGGAUCUGAGUUUAACCGGACAGACUCACAAAGAUAGGGAUGUGGACAUGACAACGAAUAGAAUUCAGGCCUUCGCCUUUGAGUAGAAGAACAAAAACAACUCCGUGCGUGUGUGUGUUUCCGACGAGUCCUGUGACAGGUUGGUAUUUGCUAUGAUGUGGAAGCUUUUCCGAUGGAGAGGUCUGUAGUUUUGGUUUGUGGAAGAAGAAGGAAGAAGAACGCUGAGAGAAAGUGUUGUUCCUUUUAGAGCUGCGCAUCCUUUUUAUUUUGUUCUCUCUCGUUGCAGAAUGUCUCCCUCUCCUCGGUCCUGUGCUCUCUAUGUUUUUGCUCCCUGUUAUUUUCGUUCACUUUCUCCCUUUUUUCUCGUUUUUUCUUAUGUCUGUUGCCUCCUGUUAUCCUCUAUCUCUCCCCUUUGUUUUCCCUCUAUUAUGUGAUGUAUAUAGAUUGCUUGGGGCCAAAGUUGUAUGAGUUGGAGGGAAU